rnacentral:rRNA from 1 species
UAUUGGACAAUGGGCGAAAGCCUGAUCCAGCAAUGCCGCGUGCGUGACGAAGGCCUUCGGGUUGUAAAGCGCUUUUCCCUGUGACGAUGAUGACGGUAACAGGGGAAUAAGCCCCGGCUAACUUCGUGCCAGCAGCCGCGGUAAUACGAAGGGGGCUAGCGUUGUUCGGAAUGACUGGGCGUAAAGGGCGCGUAGGCGGCGCAUCAAGUCGGGCUGUGAAAGCCCCGGGCUCAACCCGGGAAUUGCGCUCGAGACUGGUGUGCUGGAGUGCGGGAGAGGAUGGUGGAAUUCCCAGUGUAGAGGUGAAAUUCGUAGAUAUUGGGAAGAACACCGGUGGCGAAGGCGACCAUCUGGACCGCAACUGACGCUGAGGCGCGAAAGCGUGGGGAGCAAACAGG